rnacentral:lncRNA from 1 species
UUUGAGUCUGUUCUAUGUUGUGUAUAAGUGCCUUCCAUGUAGGCGGAGAGAGGAUGUCUCUGUGUGUGUCUGUUAGAGCCAGUACAAGUAUUUGUGCAUAUUCUAUGUGUAAAUGUCGAGGAGAGGAGGGGGGUUGUGUUCAGCAUGUCUGACUGUUGACCGCCCACCCACCUUAUUUUUUCUCCAUAUUGGGAGAACACCAAGACUUAAACCAUAGACAGACCCAGACUAAAACAAUAGACCCAGACUAAAACAAUAGACCCAGACUAAAACAAUAGACCCAGACUAAAACCAUAAAUAGACCCAGACUAAAACAAUAGACCCAGACUAAAACCAUAGACAGACCCAGACUAAAACAAUAGACCCAGACUAAAACAAUAGACCCAGACUAAAACAAUAAACCCAGACUAAAUCAAUAGACCCAGGCUAAAACAAUAAACCCAGACUAAAUCAAUAGACCCUGACUAAAACCAUAAACAGACCCAGACUAAAACAAUAGACAGACCCAGACUAAAACAAUAAACCCAGACUAAAUCAAUAGACAGACCCAGACUAAAGCAAUAGACUCAGACUAAAACAAUAGACCCAGUCCUAAACAAUAGACAGACCCAGACUAAAACAAUAGACCCAGACCUAAACAAUAGAGUCAGACUAAAACAAUAGACCCAGUCCUAAACAAUAGACAGACCCAGACUAAAACAAAAGACUCAGUCUAAAAAAUAGAACCAGACUAAAACAAUAGAAACAGACUAAAACAAUAGAACCAGACUAAAACAAUAGAAACAGACUAAAACAAUAAAACCAGACUAAAACAAUAAAACCAGACUAAAACAAUAGAAACAGACUAAAACAAUAAAACCAGACUAAAACAAUAGAAACAGACUAAAACAAUAGAACCAGACUAAAACAAUAGAAACAGACUAAAACAAUAGAACCAGACUAAAACAAUAAAACCAGACUAAAACAAUAGAAACAGACUAAAACAAUAAAACCAGACUAAAACAAUAGAACCAGACUAAAACAAUAGAACCAGACUAAAACAAUAGAACCAGACUAAAACAAUAAAACCAGACUAAAACAAAAGACCCAGACUAAAAUAAUAGAAGCUUUUGGUUACUGUCAGAACACUCUUAACCUACCGUAAGGGUGUGAGUUCUAAAUUGUAUGGCAAUGAGAACAGUGUAAAGGUGAGAUAUCUAAAUCGUAUGGCUAUGAAGACACUGUAAGGGUGUGAGUUCUACAUUGUAUGGCUAUGAAGACGCUGUAAGGGUGUGCGUUCUACAUCAUAUGGCUAUGAGGACACUAAGGGUGGUAUGAUUUUCCAUGAAGUCUCUUGAGUUGAAAAAAUACAAUAAAAAGACUUUAGAUUUCCACGGAUAUCGUCCAUCUGCAGGUGAUGUCUCCCUUACUCGUCCAUCUGCAGGUGAUCUCUCCCUUACUCCUCCAUCUGCAGGUGAUCUCUCCCUUACUCCUCCAUCUGCAGGUGAUCUCUCCCUUACUCCUCCAUCUGCAGGUGAUACCUCCCUUACUUCUCCAUCUGCAGGUGAUACCUCCCUUACUCCUCCAUCUGUAUGUGAUACCUCCCUUACUCCUCCAUCUGUAUGUGAUGUCUCCCUUACUCGUCCAUCUGUAUGUGAUACCUCCCUUACUCCUCCAUCUGCAGGUGAUACCUCCCUUACUCCUCCAUCUGCAGGUGAUACCUCCCUUAC